GUGAACACACGCCGGAAUGCAAAUCCGGAGACGCACCCUGGUGGUGCCGGGGCUU
rnacentral:tRNA from 1 species